GUCGCAAUGCGAUCUCCUGCUUUUGAACAUCCGCCGCUUUUCGUUCUCUGUUAUGGCGACGUGCGAUAGUUACCUUGCGGUCAAAUUGCCGUGGGGCCGGCCUAUCUGUGCACUGUCAAUGGCUAGUAGCGAUCGAUCAUACGCUCGGAGUUGCGUUCUCUGGGAGCUUAGUCUCAUGCUCUGCGUACGAUAGUUUAAGUUUGGGGGAGCUUGUUGGCGGAAGAAGUAGGGUCGACCGUGUGAACUUGGGAGGUGUGCGAGCGAGAAUCAUGACGAGAUUCAAAUCUAUCUCGCCCCCCCUCUCUCUCUCUCUCUCUCUCUCUCUCUCUCUCUCUCAUUUCGAUGAGACGCAGAGUAGGUGAUGGAAAUAACUGCAGUGGUGGAACUAUCCUCUUUCUAAUGGAAUUGAGGGCAUCCCUUGUCUUUAAAUGUUCCUAGAAGUAUAUCAAAUUACAGAUAUUAGGAUCCCCUUAAUAAAUUCAUUGUUAUGCUUUAUCUGCGGUUAUCGUGAAUUGAAUUUGUCGAUUAGACCGAGGGAAUUAGAUUGUUCACUGUGCACGUAAGGCUGAGGUUUUAAUAGGAAUAUAUAGCUGAAUAUACAUAUGAUUGUCCUCUUUCUAUUUGAGUGGGAUAUGCUUUGUUAAAACUGGUUUUUAAGCUUGCGCUCUUUUGCUCCGAUGCCUAGUGCAGUUGGGUUUAUGUUGAUCAACGGUGAUGCAGGUAAUGUGAACUUUGACAUAUGCAUCCACAUUGUUGAACUGUGCCUUGGGCUUGAUAAAUAUGACCUCAGUUCAUAAGCCACCGAGUGAUAGCACACUCCGCGUUUCCGGCAUUUUGGGCCAGGAAGUAUGUGAGAGCUACUUGCUUUUUCCUGGUGAAACAGCCCUUGGAGAUGCCUUCCGAGCCUUCAUCUAUUUCCUCGGUCUUGCUUACUGCUUUAUUGGAUUAUCAGCUAUCACCGCAAGGUUUUUCCGUUCUAUGGAGAAUGUUGUGAAGCAGACACGUGAGGUGGUAGAGAUAGAUCCCCAUACGAAUUCAAAGGUGGUUAGACAAGAAAAGGUGUGGAAUUACACUAUUGCAGACAUUACUCUACUGGCUUUUGGAACUAGCUUCCCUCAAAUAUCUUUAGCUACUAUUGAUGCUCUAAGAAACCUGGGGGACGUCUAUGCUGGAGAUUUGGGUCCUGGAACGCUUGUAGGCUCUGCUGCAUUUGACCUAUUUCCUAUUCAUGCUGUCUGUGUCUUGGUUCCUAAAGCUGGUGAAUUGAAGAAGAUAUCAGAUCUUGGCGUUUGGGUAGUGGAGCUCUUUUGGUCUUUCUGGGCUUAUUUUUGGCUGUACAUAAUUUUGAAGGUUUGGACUCCUGACAUUGUCACACUUUGGGAGGCACUUUUGACUGUGCUGCAGUUCGGGUUACUACUGGUACAUGCAUAUGCUCAAGACAAGCGCUGGUCCUACUUAUAUCUUCCUUUAGCAAGGGGCGAGAGGCCAGAGGACUGGGUGCCAGAAGAGGCUACUUCAAAUAAACAUGCGGACAAUGUUGAUGAUGAGCACUCCGAGAUAAUUCUAAUUGGUGAAAAUAAUGAAAGGAGUAUUGUGGACAUCUUUUCCAUCCAUUCUGGAAGUGGAACAGGUCCAAUUUAUCACCAUGUACCUGGCAGUGAUUUAGCCGAAACCUCUGAUGAACAUCAUGUGCUUUCACUUUGGAAGGAACAGUUUGUUGAUGCGCUGAUGUUGGAGAGCGCUGAGACGAAGAAGUCUGACAGCAUAUAUGUGCGGGCUUUGCGAAUGUUGUGGCAGUCACUUCUUGCACCUUGGAGGCUCAUGUUUGCUUUAGUUCCUCCUUGCCAAAUUGCUCAUGGCUGGAUUGCUUUCAUUUGCUCUUUAACCUUUAUCAGUGGAAUAGCUUAUGUGGUGACCAAACUCACAGAUCUAAUUAGCUGCGUGACAGGGAUAAAUGCUUAUGUCAUAGCAUUUACAGCGCUGGCUACUGGAACGUCAUGGCCAGACUUAGUUGCUAGUAAGAUUGCUGCUGAAAGGCAGACAACAGCUGAUUCUGCCAUUGCAAACAUCACUUGCAGUAAUUCAGUGAACAUAUAUGUGGGCAUAGGCGUCCCAUGGCUAAUUGACACCGCAUACAACUUCAUCGUGUAUCGGGAACCUUUGAGAAUCCAGAAUGCAGCCGGACUUAGCUUCUCAUUGCUCGUGUUCUUUUGUACGUCUGUGGGGUGUAUAUCAGUUCUCGUGCUUCGGCGUCUCACGUUGGGUGCGGAAUUGGGAGGGCCAAAGCCUUGGGCUUGGCUAACCAGUAUUUACUUCAUGUUGCUCUGGGUCAUCUUUGUGGUGCUUUCCUCUCUCAAAGUUUCUGGCAUCAUAUAGGAAGGAUUUAUUCCGGUAUUUGUUGGAGCAUAGACCUUGGAUUUCAUUCUGGCCCUCAUAACCCCUUACCAUCAGGUGGUUUGCCCCGGGCCUCGGACAUGGACGCUUCCAUUGUUGAGGCAGAUCCUCAAAAGCCUUCUCCUAUCGCAGCUGUGAGUUUGUGCACCCACAGAGAAAGAAAGAAGCGACUCCAGAUUGACCUGUAAAAGGAUGAUCCAAGGCCGUCAGUAGUUGCAGACAUUUCAUGAUCUCCAGCCAAUCUACAAAUGCCACAUUUAACUGGGAUUGCUCGUGGGACAUAUCGGGCAUUCCCCAUCCAACAAGCGUUGUCCAGUUAGCAAACUAAGGCAUCCAGUUCGUACUUGAGUUGAGAGAGCAGCGACUGGAAUUCACUCACUGCCUCAGCAUCACUUGAGAUAAUAUGAAGCAAAACGUCUCGGGAAAAACAAAAUCAAGGCUGGAGGAUAACCGGAGUAGAAGCCUGAGCUUAAAGCCAACCGAGAUCUACGGUUGGUUCAGAACAGGAAGGGCGGGAUGCGAUCUGACUAUAUUCAGCACACCUUUUGCAGUCGCCUGUCAAUGAAGGGAAGUAGUUAUAGCUCCUGUGAACAUCCUAGGCCCAAAACUAUUGGGUGUUUCUCAUGAAAAUAUUACCUCAAAGAAGGAAUUGAAAUUCAGCCGUAAAAGAAAACGCCUGAGAAAUGGAGCCCGUUGACUUCCAGCAA